rnacentral:lncRNA from 1 species
CUUAGAGGAAUGCAACAAUAUAUUUAUUGAGCACCUUCUUUGAGUGAAAUAUUUUCUUAGGAUAAAUCUCACAUUAUAAGUGUGAUUGCUCAUUUAUGCUAGAGUGUGUCCCUGUGCUCAAGGACAGCAGAUAUAUUUACAUAAGUCAUUAUCUAAUGAGUUAGAACAUUUUAAAUAUCACAAGAGAACUAUAAGCAAACUGUUAGGGAAUUUCAAAUAUUAAGUCUAGAUCAUUUCCAGUUUUAUAGUUCAGGGCUGGGGAAGAAGCCAAGGAAACCUUUAUAACAAGGUGGAUUAAACUUGUGCCCUGAAGAGUGAAUGAAAUACUGAUGUGUAUCAAUGAUGGAAGGCUAGAUAAAGAGGAAGACUAUUUCAGAAGAUCAGGAUCCAGUUAGAGAAAGAGAAACUACUCUGGUUACAAAGGUGCUAGAGAGCUGAGGAGCCUAACAGUGGAUGGCGAGGUACCCCAAGAAGAACAAGACCAAGAGGCCACCAGGGUGGAAGGAUAGUGGAAGGAAAUCAUUCUCAGAGCCCAGAAACUAGCGCCAGUUGGCAGAGGCUGGCCACAGGGAGGUGGAGCCAUGAAAGGAGAGGGAGACUCAUGGGAACUAGGCCCACGGAGAGGCCACAGGACCCUGUGGGGUACUGGGGGGUCAGCAACAGAGGAGAGUCUGGCUAGUCCCCUCCUUUUAUCCUCCAAAGGUUCAUCAAUACCCAGCACUGACCAAACCUACCAAAAAGCACAAGCAAACUUGGAAAAUUUAGCUUCUGCUAACACAGAGCAAAGUAGGAUAAGGGUGUGAAUAAACCUGAGAACAAACCAGCAGUAGACCUGCAUAACUGGCAAAAGCAAGGACAACAAAAAGCAAGGAGUGUUUGGGAAAUGGCAAGUUCUAUAGUUUACCUCUAACGGGGGUGACAUAGGACAAGGUCAAACCUCUUUUGUUCCCACUUAGUGGGGGACCUAGAGUACCUGACAUAUGAAAAGAAAAGGAGCUCAAAGUAAAAAAUGUGAGGAGGAGCUGAUUCCAUUCUUACAUCACGUUUGAAGAGAAAUCCAGGCCACAGGCUUCAUACAUAUGACGAUGUGAAAUCAUGACCACAUUUGUGAAAGGGGCCUGGAAGAAACCUGCAGUUGUCCCAGAGAUGCAGCACUAGCAAGUAAGCCAAAG